AGGUUGAUGACAACAAGAAACUAGGGGAAUGGGUAGGCCUCUGUAAAAUUGACAGAGAGGGAAAACCCCGUAAAGUGGUUGGUUGCAGUUGUGUGGUGGUUAAGGACUAUGGCAAAGAGUCUCAGGCAAAGGAUGUCAUCGAGGAAUACUUCAAGUGCAAGAAAUGAACAAAUAAACUUGGUUCUUGUUCCACA